UUGUCUUCCUUUUUAUUUUACGAUCAGUCUAAUCAAUAUAUGCAAAUGAAGUUUACUUAAUCGUAUCUAUGACAUAAUAAUUUAUGCUGAACCUAACACAUGCUCAGUUCACGAUGAGCUUCUCUCUCGAUCUAUUCAAUAUGGUGGUCAAUCAAGAAAUGUUUUUGCUUGCAAAAAGAUCGUAAAAUGUUGGCGCUACAAGCUCGGAAAAGAUUGUAAAUGAGAUCAGGCUUUUAUCAGCUCACAGAAUAACAAGAAGGAAGCAUCCAAACAAAUUCAUUUGUAACAUGGUGGAUAACAAAGUCCCUCCUUGAAAACCUACUUCAGUCAUUUGACGAUUAAAAGUCCAGCGAGAAAUGAAGUGAAAGGCGAUUUGAAAACCACGAGAUUGUUUUUGCCAAUGUUUUGAUCUGAAGGUUUAAAGAACCACUUUUACAAUAUUGGAGAUAUGUAGUGGAAUAAAUGCCUGGAAAGACAAUUAUUGUCUGACAAUAUAAACUAUAAAUUGAAACCGGAAUGCAAUGAUAAGAAAGGGAAAUAUGGAAUAAAUGCCUGGAAAUACAAUAUAAACUAUAAUUUUAAACUGGAAUGCAAUGAUAAGAAAGGGAAAUAAACUAUUGCUAAGUCUAAAGAACCACUGAAGCUGAAGAAUUGAGAUACAACAAUCUUUGACUGACUUUAGAUUGGUGGCGAUCGAAGGUGGACAGCAAGAUCGAAGCUCAGCAAGAUUGAAGAUUGUUCGAAGAAGAAGGAGUUCGCCGUUGACUAAAAGGUUUAUCUGAACAGCUAGUUGUCAAGAUGAAUGCGAAGACGCCCGGCCAAAUUCAAAAUGGCGAUGCCAAAGAAAACCAUCCACCUGGACCGUUCGCAGACCUUUCUGGGCAAGAUUGUUGUGCUGUCUGGUCAAAGUUAAGUAUUUUACUUUGAUGUUUGUGUGCCUUCGGCUAAUUGUUGGCCAGAAAUGACAAAAAGCCAUAUACAAUAUGAAAUAUUCUGCGUACAAGGUUAUCUAAAAUUUCGAACUUAAUUCUGCCUGCAAUGAUGAUAAUCUUUUACUGAAAAUUUAUGUCAUGAGCAACUUCCGCACCUAUAGACUGAAGCAGAACUGAACAUUUUGUCAUUAACGUUUAUCUCAACAGCCAGUUAUCAAGACGAACGUCAAGAGAACAGUUGAAAUAGAAAAUAGAAAUCAGUUCAAGACUCGCCGCCGCCGAAUUCAAAUGGCGAUCCCAUACACGUGGACCGUU